GGAGGGAUCAUUAGAUUCUUAAUCGAAUAACUAUCGAAGCGUGGUUUACACCCACAACUCAUCUAUUGAAACGAGCAUCCAAACGCUUACAAUCAAUAACCAAUUCACAAAACAAACAAACAAACCUAAAUAACAAAAACACGACUCGCAACAACGGAUAUCUUGGUUCUCGCAACGAUGAAGAACGCAGCGAAAUGCGAUACGUAAUGCGAAUUGCAGAAUCCAGUGAAUCAUCAAAUGUUUGAACGCACAUGGCGCCUUUCCGCGUAGGAACGGCACGUCUUUAUGAGCGGCGUUUUAACCCAUUCCCGAGCCGAGAGGUGAGGGAGAAAUGUGGUUGUUCUUGUCUUCGGACGGGAACUGCCAUGAAAUCCAGAGGGCUCUUUUUCGACUCGCUUCAUCGCGAGCCGACCGAUCUCGUGUUCUAUUACCGCUCGAGAGCGAAUCCACUGCAGCCGCAGACUCCAACGGAUAUUGCCUGUCAAGGGCUUUCUGUUUGGGCACACAGUCUCGAAUCGCGUGCGACUUUCUGCUCAAUGGUAACCAAACCCUGACCCCGGACGAGAGACCAUCAGCACCCAUCCGACCAAUUCCAAACAAUCGCCGAUCGGCGAUUGGGUCGGCAAACCUUCAAUAAAGCCCUCAUAUAAAACGAGAGAACCCGCUGAACUUAAGCAUAUUAUUAAGCGGAGGAAAAGAAACUAACAAGGAUUCCCUCAGUAACGGCGAGUGAAGCGGGAAGAGCUCAAGUCGAAAAUCCUUGCUCCAAGCGGGGCAGGGAGUUGUGGCCUCGAGACCUCUUGUCAUGGCGCGGGCAACCGCAAUCUCUAGAAACAAGUCCCUUGGAACAGGGCAUCGAAGAGGGUGAGAAUCCCGUUCAUUUUCUAGGGGUAGACCGGUACGACAGAGGUUCCCAGAGUCGCGUUGCUUGGGAGUGCAGCGCAAAGUGGGUCGUACACGUGAUCCAAAGCUAAAUACAGGCGAGAGACCGAUAGUGAACAAGUACCGUGAGGGAAAGAUGAAAAGCACCUGGAAACGGGAGUGAAAAAGAGCUUGAAAUUGUUGCGAGGUAAGCACUGGUGAAGGUCUAUUUGCGCUCUCCGCGCUUGAAAGUGGGUGGCAGGCCCCGCUAUCGUCGACUCGAGCUCUGUCAUGGGGCCGAUCGGCGGUCGGGAUGUUUUGCUGCUCUAGAGACUGCGCGGGGAGAGCCGUCUGCAUUGUUUCGGUUGUUUCAGGUUCCAGACGGUGGAGGAGCAGGUAGCUCGGCGGCGGCGACAAGCCGAAUCGCUCGGGAGUUCUAUAGCUCUUCCAUUCAUGCGUUGGACCGGCCGGAACAAAUUUUGGAGGACGUGGCUCGGACAGAAGGAGUCGGGGAUGCGCGGUCGUCGGAUUUCCGGGAUGUUCAAUGAUCAGUCCGGUGCCGGUCGGCUUCUCUCGUUCUCGCUCCAUCGCUGUUUUGGCCAUCGUCAAACGAUUGCGGACGCAAGUGUUCUCUGCCGGCUCGUCCGGCGAGGAAAAAGGCCCACCAAUGACCCGUCUUGAAACACGGACCAAGGAGUCCAACGUGUGUGCGAGUAUUUGCCUGAUUCAAGGGCGGAUGCGUAGUGAAAGCAAAGGAUUUGCCUCGAGCAGAUCUGAGGUGUGAAGCUGGCGUCUUCGCCUUAAAAACGAGCGCCUUCCGCAACAUCGGCCGGCCCCGGUGUCUUUGGGGACCGAGCACGAGCACCCAUGUUGGGACCCGAAAGAUGGUGAUCUAUGCCUGAGCAGGGCGAAGCCAGGGGAAACUCUGGUGGAGGCUCGCAGCGAUACUGACGUGCAAAUCGUUCGUCGGAUUUGGGUAUAGGGGCGAAAGACUAAUCGAACCAUCUAGUAGCUGGUUCCCUC
rnacentral:misc_RNA from 1 species